rnacentral:rRNA from 1 species
AGUGAACGCUGGCGGCAGGCCUAACACAUGCAAGUCGAACGGCAGCACAGUAAGUGUUUGCUCUUACGGGUGGCGGGUGGCGGAUGGGUGAGGAAUACAUCGGAAUCUACUUUUUCGUGGGGGACUACGUAGGGCAACUUACGCUAAUACCGCAUACGACGUACGGGUGAAAUCAGGGGAUCUUCGGACCUUGCGCGAUUGAAAGAGCCGUUGUCGGAUUAGCUAGUCGGCGGGGUAAAGGCCCACCACGGCGACGAUCCGUAGCUGGUCUGAGAGGAUGAUCCGCCACACUGGAACUGAGACACGGUCCAGACUCCUACGGGAGGCAGCAGUGGGGAAUAUUGGACACUGGGCGCAAGCCUGAUCCAGCCAUACCGCGUGGGUGAAGAAGGCCUUCGGGUUGUAAAGCCCUUUUGUUGGGAAAGAAAAGCAGCAGGUUAAUACCCCGCUGUUCUGACGGUACCCAAAGAAUAAGCACCGGCUAACUUCGUG